AUGUUUUUUUUAUCCCAUAUGUCAUCAGUGACAAUCAAGUACCUUUUGUUGAUUAGCUGUCUUUCAUCCAACUCCGGGUACUUUUGGCCGUCAAUUUCAAGGAGUAUGUCAUUGAGAACUUUCUUCACGCUAGGGUUCCGUCCAACCGGAACAAAAGCACAGCAAUCAAAUUGCGCUUUAAGCUUAUCAUACACUGCUUUGGCAAGAGUUGUCUUGCCAAGGCCUCCGAAUCCGAAAAUAGAGAGUAUCUUGAGUUGCUUGGACGCAUCAGCAUCCCCAUCACUCAUCAUAUUGGUUAGCUCAUUCAACGAAUCAUCAAUACCAACGAGCUCUUUCUGGUCCUUGUAUAAAGCCAAUAGGCGAGGGUCAACCGGGGUUGCGCCAACAGGAUUAGCAACCACGUCGUCGACCCUGUACCUAUCACGUCGGUCAGCCGCCUCCUUGACGCGGACUUUGAUGUCUCUGAUCUCAUCAGAGAUCUCAUGGCGAGUCUUGCUCUUGCUGAACAAGUUCCCCAUCUUCUUCAUGAGCUUCUUGAGUUUGUGUGGCUUGAUGGCUGGUUCAGCUCCCUCGACGCGCACCAGGAACUUGUCGACGACGUCCUCCAUUCUGAAUGACAAGUCCCUGACUUGGUUGGCCCAGAGCUUGACCUGCUCGUCGAGCUGGUCUCGCGGCACGCCCCCAACCUUGCGGAGGGCAGCAUGCAUGCUCUCCAGCUCUCUCUCUAGAUACUCAACAUCUUCCUUGACGCCCGUCUGGAGCUUGUACUCCUCCGUGAGGAGUUGGCCAAGCUUGAGGAGGAGGCUGCCCAUGGCCCCCGUCGCGAGGUCCAUGGUCGCUCUCAGCAGCUGGGUUGCUGGAGAAUAUGCUGCUAUAGGCUGCAGAUCUACUUGCUGCUGUUGGAUUUGA
rnacentral:rRNA from 1 species